rnacentral:rRNA from 1 species
AACGAACGCUGGCGGCAUGCCUAACACAUGCAAGUCGAACGAGACCUUCGGGUCUAGUGGCGCACGGGUGCGUAACGCGUGGGAACCUGCCCUUAGGUUCGGAAUAACUCCCCGAAAGGGGUGCUAAUACCGGAUAAUGUCUACGGACCAAAGAUUUAUCGCCUUUGGAUGGGCCCGCGUUGGAUUAGCUAGUUGGUAGGGUAAAAGCCUACCAAGGCGACGAUCCAUAGCUGGUCUGAGAGGAUGAUCAGCCACACUGGGACUGAGACACGGCCCAGACUCCUACGGGAGGCAGCAGUGGGGAAUAUUGGACAAUGGGCGAAAGCCUGUUCCAGCAAUGCCGCGUGAGUGAUGAAGGCCUUAGGGUUGUAAAGCUCUUUUACCCGGGAUGAUAAUGACAGUACCGGGAGAAUAAGCUCCGGCUAACUCCGU